CAGUAGCCGCGGGAAUCUGGAGGGAGCUAGCGUUGUUCGGAAUUACUGGGCGUAAAGCGCACGUAGGCGGUUAUUCAAGUCAGAGGUGAAAGCCCGGGGCUCAACCCCGGAACUGCCUUUGAAACUAGAUGACUGGAAUCUUGGAGAGGUCAGUGGAAUUCCGAGUGUAGAGGUGAAAUUCGUAGAUAUUCGGAAGAACACCAGUGGUGAAGGCGACUGACUGGACAAGUAUUGACGCUGAGGUGCGAAAGCGUGGGGAGCAAACAGGAUUAGAUACCCCCGUAGUCCCUGUCUCUUAUAC
rnacentral:rRNA from 1 species